UACGUAGGGAGCAAGCGUUGUCCGGAAUCAUUGGGCGUAAAGCGCGCGUAGGUGGCCUCAUAAGUCCGCUGUGAAAGUCAAAGGCUCAACCUUUGAAAGCCGGUGGAUACUGUGAGGCUAGAGUACGGAAGAGGCGAGUGGAAUUCCUGGUGUAGCGGUGGAAUGCGCAGAUAUCAGGAGGAACACCAAUAGCGAAGGCGGCUCGCUGGGCCAUUCCUGACGCUGAGACGCGAAAGCUAGGGGAGCGAACAGG
rnacentral:rRNA from 1 species